CCUACGGGGGGCAGCAGUGAGGAAUAGUGGUCAAUGGACGCAAGUCUGAACCAGCCAUGCCGCGUGCAGGAAGACGGCUCUAUGAGUUGUAAACUGCUUUUGUACGAGGGUAAACGCAGAUACGCGUAUCUGUCUGAAAGUAUCGUACGAAUAAGGAUCGGCUAACUCCGUGCCAGCAUCCGCGGUAAUACGGAGGAUUCAAGCGUUAUCCGGAUUUAUUGGGUUUAAAGGGUGCGUAGGCGGUCGGCUAAGUUAGAGGUGAAAUCCCGAGGCUCAACUUCGGAAUGGCCUCUGAUACUGUUCGGCUAGAGUGUACUUUCGGUAGGCUGAAUGUAUGGUGUAGCGGU
rnacentral:rRNA from 1 species